rnacentral:lncRNA from 1 species
CAUUUCUUCUAAUAAUCUUAUGAAUCUUCUGAUAAUGUAAGCCGUGUCCUCAUCUUCCUCGUUUGACUCCCCAUUUGUUGAUUCGGUGCCAAAUUCUUCUCAUUCUUUGGUUUAUUUCUUCCUUUUUCCUAUUUUUUUUAGCUCGUAAGUCUUCAAGUUUCCAAUUAGCUCAUCCAUGGUAAAGGUUUUGAGAUCUCUUGCUUCA